UAUGUCCUACGGGGGGCAGCAGUGGGGGAUAUUGCACAAUGGGGGGAACCCUGAUGCAGCGACGCCGCGUGGGUGAAGGAGCGUUUCGGCGCGUAAAGCCCUAUCGGCAGGGAAGAAGGAGGACGGUACCUGACUAAGAAGCCCCGGCUAACUACGUGCCAGCAGCCGCGGUAAUACGUAGGGGGCAAGCGUUAUCCGGAUUUACUGGGUGUAAAGGGUGCGUAGGUGGCAGGGCAAGUCAGAUGUGAAAGCCCGGGGCUCAACCCCGGUACUGCAUUUGAAACUGUCCAGCUGGAGUGCAGGAG
rnacentral:rRNA from 1 species